rnacentral:rRNA from 1 species
CCUACGGGCGGCAGCAGUGAGGAAUAUUGGUCAAUGGACGAGAGUCUGAACCAGCCAAGUAGCGUGAAGGAUGACUGCCCUAUGGGUUGUAAACUUCUUUUAUAUGGGAAUAAAACGUUCCACGUGUGGGAUUUUGUAUGUACCAUAUGAAUAAGGAUCGGAUAACUCCGUGCCAGCAGCCGCGGUAAUACGGAGGAUCCGAGCGUUAUCCGGAUUUAUUGGGUUUAAAGGGAGCGUAGGUGGAUUGUUAAGUCAGUUGUGAAAGUUUGCGGCUCAACCGUAAAAUUGCAGUUGAAACUGGCAGUCUUGAGUACAGUAGAGGUGGGCGGAAUUCGUGGUGUAGCGGUGAAAUGCUUAGAUAUCACGAAGAACUCCGAUUGCGAAGGCAGUUCACUGGACUGCAACUGACACUGAGGCUCGAAAGUGUGGGUAUCAAACAGGAUUAGAUACCCCUGUAGUC